ACUGAAUAGAUACCCCGGUAGUCCACGCCGUAAACGAUGAUCACUCGCUGUUUGCGAUAUACAGCAAAGCGGCUGAGCGAAAGCAUUAAGUGAUCCACCUGGGGAGUACGAUCGCAAGGUUGAAACUCAAAGGAAUUGACGGGGGCCCGCACAAGCGGAGGAAACAUGUGGUUUAAUUCGAUGAUACGCGAGGAACCUUACCUGGGCUUAAAUGUAGGCUGCAUUCGGCUGAAAGGCUGAUUCCCUUCGGGGCUGCUUACAAGGUGCUGCAUGGUUGUCGUCAGCUCGUGCCGUGAGGUGUCGGGUUAAGUCCCAUAACGAGCGCAACCCCGUAUCGUUAGUUGCCAGCGGGUCAAGCCGGGGACUCUAGCGAGACUGCCACCGUAAGGUGAGAGGAAGGUGGGGAUGACGUCAAAUCAGCACGGCCCUUAUGUCCAGGGCUACACACGUGUUACAAUGGCCGGUACAAAGGGCAGCUACUAUGCGAAUAGAUGCUAAUCUCGAAAGCCGGUCCCAGUUCGG
rnacentral:rRNA from 1 species